UAACCUAGUUGNUGGGUAAAGGGCNUGCCCAAGCNGNCGACCAGUAGCUUGUUUUGAGAGGAUGACCAGCCCCCCUGGGAUUGAGACCCGGCCCAGACUCUUACGGGAGGCACCAGUGGGGAAUUUUCCGCAAUGGGCGAAACCCUGACGGAGCAANGCCGCGUGAGGGAGGAAGGUCUUUGGAUUGUAAACCUCUUUUCUCAAGGAAGAAGUUCUGACGGUACUUGAGGAAUCAGCCUCGGCUAACUCCGUGCCAGCAGCCGCGGUAAUACNGGGGANGCAAGCGUUAUCCGGAAUUAUUGGGCNAAAAAGCGUCCGAA
rnacentral:rRNA from 1 species